CCAAUAGCGUAUAUUAAAGUUGUUGCAGUUAAAAAGCUCGUAGUUGAAUUUCGGGAUCAAUUUAUUGGUCGUGCUAUUGUACGUACUGGUAUUAUUGAUUCCUACCUUCUGACGAACCAUGAUGUCAUUAAUUUGGUGUCUUGGGGAAUCAGGACUGUUACUUUGAAAAAAUUAGAGUGUUUAAAGCAGGCUCACGCUUGAAUACAUUAGCAUGGAAUAACGAAAUAGGACGUUUGAUUCUAUUUUGUUGGUUUCUAGGAUCGACGUAAUGAUUAAUAGGGAUAGUUGGGGGCAUUAGUAUUCAAUUGUCAGAGGUGAAAUUCUUGGAUUUAUUGAAGACUAACUACUGCGAAAGCAUUUGCCAAGGAUGUUUUCAUUAAUCAAGAACGAAAGUUAGGGGAUCGAAGACGAUCAGAUACCGUCGUAGUCUUAACCAUAAACUAUGCCGACUAGGGAUCGGAUGAUGUUAAUUUUUUAAUGACUCAUUCGGCGCCUUACA
rnacentral:sRNA from 1 species